rnacentral:rRNA from 1 species
UACGGGGGGGGCAAGCGUUGUUCGGAAUCAUUGGGCGUAAAGGGCGCGUAGGCGGUGCGGUAAGUCUGAUGUGAAAUCCCCGAGCUUAACUCGGGAUCCGCGUUAGAGACUGCCGUGCUAGAGUGUGGGAGAGGAGAGUGGAAUUCCCGGUGUAGCGGUGAAAUGCGUAGAUAUCGUGAGGAAGACCAGUU